CUACAAUUCUAUUCCCAUUCAACCAACGUUGCAACUCGAUCAACGCCAUCCCCCUUUCUGGUAUGUCGUCUCCGGCCAUCUCUUGCCAGUGUUUGCUCUCUCUGGCCAGCUUCUUGACUGACGACCCUCUCUCGCACUCCCUCUCAGGUAUGCUUUCCCUCUCUAUUUUUUAUCUUUUCCUUUCACUCUCUCUGUUUGUCCGUCUCCCAUCAGUUGUUUUGUUUGCGAGUCUCCAAGCAAUUUUAGCCAAAUUUCAAAAACUAGAAGCAAUUUUGGCCGAGAGUUUUAGCUUUUGUUUGUCAAGAACUUCAAACCGCAGCCAUUCCUAAGCCCUGCAAUCCCAUCUAUAGAGUAAGCGUACUAGUAAAUCUAAAUUACCAUAGACAACUGGUUUACACAGUUUAAGCAGAAAAACCAGAAAAGAAAGAAAAUUUAUGUUCUCUAUCUCAUUUAAUUAUUUCUAUAUUGAAAUGUAAAAAAUGUGAAAUUGUGAAUGAUUCAUUUCUAUCUCUCUCUCAAGGCUGGCUGCCGCAGUCCGCAGCACACGACCUAAAUCACCAAACACUCGGUCACCAGAACCAAACCCACUCACCACCAGAAAGCGUAAAUCCAGCCACCUAAACCACCUCACCUUAUCAAACCCAAUCACCUAAACCCACCCAAACUCUUCGAUCCAUACGACCUUCACCCAACCUCUCUGAUCCACGACGUCACCGCCUCAAAAGCUAAAAUCAGAAAUUUGAUCGUGAAACCAUGUAAAUACCAAGAUACUUGGGCAGAACACUAUUUGCUACAGCAAAUUCUAAAACUUCUGUAGCUACAACUGCUGCUUCUUCUUCAGCUGGGACGGUUUACAAUUCUCUUGAGGAGUUAAAAAGGCUGAUAGAAGACCAGAUGAAGAAAAACCAGCUGUCUAUGGUAAAAAUGUGAAAAUUCUUUUCUGUUUAAAUAAUUUAUUUUGUAUUUAGAAUUGCACUUGAUCUUACUUUAUAAGUAGGAAGGGCUUUGUUUGGUGUUAACUUAAAAAUGUUUCCUUUUUAAAAGGAGUAUAGGACUAUGUAUGCAUAUUUAUUUAAGUCUUAAUUUUUCUAAAUCCUUCUAAUUGCAUAUUUAUUAUCACUGUUGAACAAAUGAAUACAGGUUAGUAGCUUUCCAUAUGAUACUUAUUGAGGUGUUUGAACUAUUAGGAGUUUAUAUAUAUAUAUAUAUUAUUUACUGGUGGCUGCUUGCCGGUAUCUUUAAGGUGUUGUUUUGAGCUUCAUUGGCAGGUACAUCCUGUUUCUGCUGGAGUCCAGUAUGACAAAGAGUUUACUGUCUGCUCACUUGAUUUGCUCUCUGGAUUAGCUGAAGGUCUUGGCAGUGGGAUAGAAAGUUUGGUAAUCCCUUACUCCAUGAUUAUUUUAUAGAGCCUUAGUUACUUCAUUUCUCAAGUUGCACAUCUAUUUUUCUCAUAAAAGUGGUUUAUAAAUUUUGCCAAAGCUUUUCAACAAGAAGAUUAUGUAAAUGUAGGUUUCUUUGAUGAUUUUCAAUGUUACGCUUUAAAACUGAAUUUUUUUUGUUUUUCCAUUUAAUAAGAAUCAGUUUUCAUCUUAGUCAUUUCAUCUUUAAUCAACUUUCAAUGUACCUUGGAAAGUCUUAAAAAAAGAAAAAGAAAAAAGGGGAUGUAAUUAUGGUGCCUAGUUUUCAUUUCUCCAUUCUCUUUAGAUAUGUCUUGGUGGAAUGCCAAGACAUAUCAUCUCAAUGGCCUAUUUAAUAUCAUCUCAUAUGAUGUGGUCCCUAAAGUGCAGAAUUUACUAAUGGCAUCAGACUUUAAGGUAAGAUCAGUAAAAUGGUUGUAUUUUGUGGAAUUUUUGCUCGUUGUUUAUGUUGGCAAUCUACAUGCCCAAAUGUGUUUGCUACAGUGUCUAAUUUUCUUUUUCAUUUGAUUUUGGUUAGUUAAACGUCUUUAGAUUUCAGGAAUUUAAGGAGCAAGGUCAAGUUUAAUCAAUUGAGCACAUGUUUAAAAUUAAUGCAAUGAAGAGUUCAACGCAAGAUUUGUCUCCACCACUACCCACCAUUGCCAUCACUACUAUUACUUGUAAUUGUAUAUAGAUGAUUUUAUUGCCUAUGUUACACAAAAUGAUUGUUUUAUGUACUAAUGACAAUUAUAUACAUGUAAAGACAAUUAAUGUUUUAUAAAUAUUUAAAGCCUGUGUUAUAAGAAUUUGCUAAUUUGCUUUAUA